CCCCCCUGACAAUGGGCAAGGAGACAGCUGAAUGGUGUUCUUCUUGUAUCAGUUAGGGGCAAAGCAGACUACAGUCCUUAGUUUAUCCUAGCUUGAUGUCUGUGUUGGUGACCAGAGCUGUUUCCUGCCUGGGCCACAUUA